UAAUGCCUGGGAACAUGCCUUGGUGUGGGGGAUAACCAUUGGAAACGAUGGCUAAUACCGCAUAACGUCUACGGACCAAAGAGGGGGACCUUCGGGCCUCUCGCGCCAAGAUUGGCCCAGGUGGGAUUAGCUAGUAGGUGGGGUAACGGCUCACCUAGGCGACGAUCCCUAGCUGGUCUGAGAGGAUGAUCAGCCACACUGGAACUGAGACACGGUCCAGACUCCUACGGGAGGCAGCAGUGGGGAAUAUUGCACAAUGGGGGAAACCCUGAUGCAGCCAUGCCGCGUGUGUGAAGAAGGCCUUCGGGUUGUAAAGCACUUUCAGUAGGGAGGAAGGCAGUGUCGUUAAUAGCGGCAUUGUUUGACGUUACCUACAGAAGAAGCACCGGCUAACUCCGUGCCAGCAGCCGCGGUAAUACGGAGGGUGCGAGCGUUAAUCGGAAUUACUGGGCGUAAAGCGCAUGCAGGCGGCUUGUUAAGCCAGAUGUGAAAGCCCGGGGCUCAACCUCGGAAUAGCAUUUGGAACUGGCAGGCUAGAGUCUUGUAGAGGGGGGUAGAAU
rnacentral:rRNA from 1 species